UCUUUCGUCCACUUUGUCAGUGUGCUCAGCCUGCCAUGAAUUGAGGGGGCAGCAACUUAAUGUCAUAUCAUGCCUCUCUCCACUCACCUCUAAUUGAGCAGGGUAGAUAUUACAAUCAUGGUAACAUACAUUAACAAGGGCUAGGGAAGACAAAAAAGGCACACACAAAAGAAUUUUAGGGUGGAAGUGGAUGGACCAAAUUGGGUGCUGGAAAAUAUAAAAAUAGAGUGUUGGGUGGACAGACAGAAUAGGGGUGUUGGGAGGUGGACAGACUGAUG